UACAGAGGUCCCAAGCGUUGUUCGGAUUCACUGGGCGUAAAGGGUGCGUAGGUGGUCGGGUAAGUCUGAUGUGAAAUCUCCGGGCUUAACCCGGAAACUGCAUCGGAUACUAUUCGGCUAGAGGGUUGGAGGGGGGACUGGAAUACUUGGUGUAGCAGUGAAAUGCGUAGAUAUCAAGUGGAACACCAGUGGCGAAGGCGAGUCCCUGGACAACUCCUGACACUGAGGCACGAAAGCUAGGGGAGCAAACAGG
rnacentral:rRNA from 1 species